AUUGAACGCUGGCGGCAUGCUUUACACAUGCAAGUCGAACGGUAACAGGCCGCAAGGUGCUGACGAGUGGCGAACGGGUGAGUAAUGCAUCGGAACGUGCCCAGUCGUGGGGGAUAACUACUCGAAAGAGUAGCUAAUACCGCAUACGAUCUAUGGAUGAAAGCGGGGGACCGUAAGGCCUCGCGCGAUUGGAGCGGCCGAUGUCAGAUUGGGUAGUUGGUGGGGUAAAGGCUCACCAAGCCAACGAUCUGUAGCUGGUCUGAGAGGACAACCAGCCACACUGGGACUGAGACACGGCCCAGACUCCUACGGGAGGCAGCAGUGGGGAAUUUUGGACAAUGGGCGCAAGCCUGAUCCAGCAAUGCCGCGUGCAGGAAGAAGGCCUUCGGGUUGUAAACUGCUUUUGUACGGAACGAAACGGCUCUGGUUAAUACCCGGGGCUAAUGACGGUACCGUAAGAAUAAGCACCGGCUAACUACGUG
rnacentral:rRNA from 1 species